GAUGAACGCUGGCGGCGUGCCUAAUACAUGCAAGUCGAACGAGGUGCUUUUUGUAGCAAUACGAGAGUAUCCUAGUGGCGAACGGGUGAGUAACGCGUUGGUGACCUACCCCAAAGUGUGGGAUAACAGUCCGAAAGGAUUGCUAAUACCGCAUGUGGUCUUUCGGGUUUAGAAACUGAUGACUAAAGGAGCAAUUCGCUUUGGGAGGGACCUGCGUCCCAUCAGCUAGUUGGUGAGGUAAUGGCUCACCAAGGCUACGACGGGUAGGGGACCUGAGAGGGUGACCCCCCCGACAAUGGAACUGAAACACGGUCCAUACACCUACGGGUGGCAGCAGUAGGGAAUAUUGCACGAUGGGCGAAAGCCUGAUGCAGCAACGCCGCGUGUGCGAUGAAGGCCUUCGGGUCGUAAAGCACUUUUC
rnacentral:rRNA from 1 species